UACUCCAGCACUUUGUGUCUACCUUCGAUGUUAUCCAGCAUCUGCAGUUCUUUCUCACACAGAAGGGCCUGGAUAUCUAUUUCUCAACACUGCGGUGGUGGAUUACCAAGAAGUCGAUAUUUCUGUUUCGAGCUUCUUGGAAACUAGGUCUGUGUCAAGUGUGAAGUUUCUUGCUUAUCUCUAACCACGCCACUGACCACAUGGCUGACGUGGGUGUGUGUCAGUAUGCGCUGUUACACUUCGUAAGAGCAUAAGAUCAUAAGUGAUAGCAGGAAUUAGGCCAUUCAAUCAUGGCUGAUCUAUCUCCCCUGCCUUCUGAACAAUUGUGAUCGAGGCAGUGCAGCGUUGGUUCACGAGACUGAUGGCGGGACUGUCAAAUGUGGAAGGAUUGAAAAGACUAGGCUAGUAUUCACUGGAGUUUAGAAGG